rnacentral:lncRNA from 1 species
AAAAACAAUGGUCUUGACAUGUCUCCAUGAGAAGCUUACUGUCAUAGUGGGAUUUAGUUGUCGCCAUAGAGCCACUUCUCAGAGUUACUGGUGUAAGAAACAAGUUCUUGAGGCUUAAACCACAGACUGAUCUCAUCCUUUGCUGUCUCUGGUCCAUCACUUCCAUGGAUUAUGUUCCUGCAAUUUCACAUUUCAAUCACCAAAUCUUCCAAAAUGUUCUAAUGCGAAAUGAAAAAGAGAGAGAAAAACAAAACAUACCUGCCAACAGUAACUGCAAGAUCUCCUCGGAUUGUUCCAGGCUCAGAUUUCUGAGGAUCGGUGGCUCCAAUCAGUUUACGUCCGUAUCUGAUCACACCAUCUCCUUCCCAGACC